UACUGAAUGGCCUUUUGGGCCUUCAACCUUCAAAAACAUGUGGAAGCAAGAUGUGCUUCGGUGCCUCUGGUGCCGCCUUUAUGCAGUGAAGCCUUAUUUGUCUGAACCAAAAUCAAAAAGUUAAAACUUUCAACAAAGGAUCUCUUGGCUCUCACAUCGAUGAAGAACGCAGCGAAGCGCGAAAUGUAGUGUGAAUCGCAGAACUUAGUGAAUCAUCGAAUCUUUGAACGCACAUUGCGCCUCCCAUCAUCGGGAGGCAUGCCUGUCUGAGCGUCAUUUAAACCAUAGCUCCCAUCUGGGACUGUACUGGGCAUCGCCGACGGCGUAGCCUCAAAGACAUUGGUCUAAUCAAGCGGACGAGUUCCUUCAGGACGGACCGUUGGGUUGACCUUAAACCUCUGACUUGACCUCAGAUCAGGUAGGGCUACCGCCUGAACUUAA
rnacentral:rRNA from 1 species